AUUGAACGCUGGCGGCAGGCCUAACACAUGCAAGUCGAACGAGUGGCGGACGGGUGAGUAACGUGUGGGAAACUGCCUGAUGGAGGGGGGUCACUACUGGAAACGGUAGCUAAUACCGCAUACCCUAAGAUGUACCCAGAUGGGAUUAGCUAGUUGGUGGGGUAAUGGCUCACGAAGGCGACUAGCCCUAGCUGGUCUGAGAGGCUGACCGCCCACACUGGAACUGGGAAACGGUCCAGACUCCACCGGGAGGCAGAAGUGGGGAAUAUUGGACAAUGGGCGCAAGCCUGAUGAAGAAAUGCCGGGGGGAUGAAGCAGGCCUUGGGGUUGUAAAGUACUUUCAGCGGGGAGGCGUUACCCGCAGAAGAAGCACCGGCUAACUCCGUGCCAGCAGCCGCGGUAAUUC
rnacentral:rRNA from 1 species